CGUCAACCUAAAGAAGGAAAGGCCAGUUUGCAUUUUCUUCACUCUCGAAGGUCACGGAGAUCAUAACGUAAAACGUGUCAUGCAACGGGGUAGAGGUUGGGUGCGAACGGAACGUUUUUUCACCAUUAUUAAGUAGGUACAAUUGCUGCAAGGCUCGAGUUGAAAGGUAAGGGUGAGAACAAGUCGUAUAAAUUGCGAGAGAAAAGGCUGCAGAAAUUAGUCCAGUGAGCGUCUCCGACACGGCAACAACUGUAGGUGCAUCAUUGGUCACCAACUGCCGUCUUCAUCGUGUUAUUAGUAAUUAUGGUUAACUAUGACGUUGUGUUGCUGUUGGGUGUUCAUCGUUGAUGUCGACCACGAGAGAAAAUCUCAUUAAAGGAGAGAUAAAAGGAGAUAGAAAUCCGUAGAUAGAGUGAACGCCUCUGACAUGGGCACAACUGCAUCGUACUAAUUGUCACCAGCUGCCUUUUUCAUCUUAUCAGUUGGCAAUCAUGGUAAACUAUGCCGUUGUGGUUGUUGUGUCGUCGAUGGCUGGGUCGGCGACUGGUGUACCGAUGUCUCCUGCGCAUGGCGGAUACCAAACCGCAACGCCGCCGCCUUACUGCACGACAAACAUACGCAACAACCGGAUACUACACCACCAAGGCCCCAGAGUAGUACACAACGACUUAUGAUGUCCUAAACUACUACACCGAAGCCCCAAAAAAUAACUCUGCCCCGAGUUUCACCACCAAGGCAGCGGAGUAC